rnacentral:rRNA from 1 species
GACGAACGCUGGCGGCGUGCUUAACACAUGCAAGUCGAACGGUGAAGCGCCUUCCUUUUUGGUGGGUGUGGAUGAGUGGCGAACGGGUGAGUAACACGUGAGUAACCUGCCCCCUUCUUCUGGAUAACCGCAUGAAAGUGUGGCUAAUACGGGAUAUUCUGGGUCUGUCGCAUGAUGGGUCUGGGAAAGGUAUUGUUUCGGUGGGGGAUGGGCUCGCGGCCUAUCAGCUUGUUGGUGGGGUGAUGGCCUACCAAGGCGGUAACGGGUAGCCGGCCUGGGUGGGUGGACGGUCACACUGGGACUGAGACACGGCCCAGACUCGUACGGGAGGCAGCAGUGGGGAAUAUUGCACAAUGGGCGCAAGCCUGAUGCAGCGACGCCGCGUGAGGGAUGGAGGCCGUCGGGUUGUGAACCUCUUUCGCCAGUGAAGCAGGCCUGCCUCGUUUGUGGGUGGGUUGACGGUAGCUGGAUAAGAAGCGCCGGCUAACUACGUG